rnacentral:rRNA from 1 species
CAAUAGCGUAUAUUAAAGUUGUUGCAGUUAAAAAGCUCGUAGUUGGAUUUCUGGGAGGGUGCCGCCGUCCGGCGUGUCCGUGUGCAGUGGCGCCCCUCCAUCCUUCUGUUAGCGUCUCUUGGCAUUCAUUUGCUGGUGGCGGGCUCAGAUAUUUUACCUUGAGAAAAUUAGAGUGUUUCAGGCAGGCUAGGCCGGAAUACAUUAGCAUGGAAUAAUGGAAUAGGACUACGGUCUCUUUGUUGGUUUGAGGGACUGCAGUAAUGAUUAAUAGGGAUAGUUGGGGGCAUUAGUAUUUAAUUGUCAGAGGUGGAAUUCUCAGAUUUGUUAAAGACUAACUUAUGCGAAGGCAUUUGCCAAGGAUGUUUUCAUUGA